rnacentral:tRNA from 1 species
GAGGGUAUAGCUCAGUGGUAGGGCUUGUGCUUAGCAUGCAAGAGGUUCAGGGUUCAAUCCCCAGUACCUCCA